GACGAACGCUGGCGGCGUGCCUAAUACAUGCAAGUUGAGCGAUGAAGAGUGGUGCUUGCACCAAUGUGAAGAGCGGCGGACGGGUGAGUAACGCGUGGGGAAUCUGCCUUUGAGCGGGGGACAACUUUGGGAAACGAAUGCUAAUACCGCAUAAUAACUUUAACCAUAAGGUUUAAGUUUGAAAGAUGCUAUUGCAUCACUCAAAGAUGAUCCCGCGUUGUAUUAGCUAGUUGGUGAGGUAAAGGCUCACCAAGGCGAUGAUACAUAGCCGACCUGAGAGGGUGAUCGGCCACAUUGGAACUGAGACACGGCCCAGACUCCUACGGGAGGCAGCAGUAGGGAAUCUUCGGCAAUGGACGAAAGUCUGACGGAGCAACGCCGCGUGAGUGAAGAAGGUCUUCGGAUCGUAAAACUCUGUUGGUAGGGAAGAACGAUGGUGAGAGUGGAAAGCCCCUCAAGUAACGGUAACUAUCAAGAAAGCGACGGUAACUUACGU
rnacentral:rRNA from 1 species